AGUCUGAAGGUAUGUAGCAGACUGUUGUUUAUUCUGAAGGUAUGUAGCAGACUGUUUGUUUAUUCUGAAGGUAUGUAGCAGACUGUUGUUUAUUCUGAAGGUAUGUAGCAGACUGUUUGUUUAUUCUGAGGGUAUGUAGCAGACUGUUUGUUUAUACUGAAGGUAUGUAGCAGACUGUUUGUUUAUUCUGAGGGUAUGUAGCAGACUGUUUGUUUAUUCUGAGGGUAUGUAGCAGACUGUUUGUUUAUUCUGAAGGUAUGUAGCAGACUGUUUGUUUAUUCUGAGGGUAUGUAGCAGACUGUUUGUUUAUUCUGAGGGUAUGUAGCAGACUGUUUGUUUAUUCUGAGGGUAUGUAGCAGACUG
rnacentral:lncRNA from 1 species